GGGAACUCUGACACAGGUGCUGCAUGGCUGUCGUCAGCUCGUGUCGUGAGAUGGUUGGGUUAACGUCCCGUAACGAGCGCGACCCUCGUCCUUAGUUACCAGCACGUUAUGGGUGGGCACUCUAAGGAGACUGCCGGUGACAAACCGGAGGAAGGUGGGGAUGACGUCAAGUCAUCAUCGGCCCUUACGGCCUGGGCUACACACGUGCUACAAUGGUCGGUACAAAGGGUUGCCAAGCCGCGAGGUGGAGCUAAUCCCAAUAAAACCGAUCGUAGUCCGGAUCGCAGUCUGCAACUCGACUGCGUGAAGUCGGAAUCGCUAGUAAUCGUGAAUCAGAAUGUCACGGUGAAUACGUUCCCGGGCCUU
rnacentral:rRNA from 1 species